UCGACGUCUUCGUUUUCUCGCAUUCCCUCAUCCAUCGUACGACGUACUGCAAGUCGCGACUCAGAGGCCGAGAGCUCGCCGGUGAAUUCCUGUCUUUUUCCGAGCACUCCUUCUCCUUCCGCCAUCAGUCGCCGCAGCCACCGCCGUCAUCGCCGUCUUCGCCGUCCGCGGAAAGCGAUUGCGCUUUGAUUGGGCGAAUCUGCGAUCUUUUCAGAUCUCCGUCGCUCUCGUCCGGCGCAGUUCAGCCGCAAACCUAAGCCGUUUUCGUAACAGCCGGGACGAGGAAGAGGCAGAGGCGGAUACCAAUCCGAGGGCCUAAGGGGACGCCUGGGUGGUCAGAGUUUGGGCAGGGAAGCAACCUGGAUAAUGACUACAGCCGUCCGAGGGGCAAUGGCUCCUACUUCCGUGGUUCGCAAUGAGUUAUUCGUUCGACCUUUCGAACCGUUAUAGCUGUGGCCAAAGGCUCGUUAGGUUGCUAUGGGUGAUUCCAUGUACGAUGGUUUCCUGAAGUCGUGGUCUGUGCUUCUUGAGGUGUGUUUCUUCCUUUUUGGCAUGAUUAGAUUGUUAAGACCUUUUUCACCUUUUGGCCCUUGCGGAGAGCUUAGAUGAGCCUUUCCCCUUGAAUGGUUUUUGUGAUGCAAUUCAAGCGGGAGUUUUGGGCGCCAUCGAGCCUUUACACUGUGAGGGCUGGUGAAUUAGGUUCUAUAUUGGAAAGUUUGUAACUGUUCGACAGUUUUCUGUUAUCUUUUGUUCAACGGUAUAAUUCCUACCUUUGCUGUGUAUAUAAACUGUUUAUGCUACCUGCUUCUGAGUUGGGUUUAUACGAAAUCAGCUGCAGGGUGUUUACUUUC